UAAAGCUUGACGCAGUUGUUCCACCAAAAGCUUCUCCCAGACGAACAAAGGUCUACGCCAAGCAAGACGUCAAACCCACACGCCAACUGACCAUGACCCAAGAUCAACCACCUUUGCACCUUUAACCAAACACAAAGAAAACAAUCUCGGGAAUACUUUCUUCAACACAUCGCUCCCAAGCCAACUGUCCUCCCAAAAAUAAACAUUCUUACCAUUAC
rnacentral:lncRNA from 1 species